rnacentral:snRNA from 1 species
UAGUCAUUCUGCUGUGAUUAGCACAUGGAGAGGGGUGGCUGCGGCUCACUCCUUUCUGUGUGGAAUCGCCAUCAAGAGAUUUCAGAAGCAUAAUUUUUGCAAAUGGGGAAGGAGGGCGGGGCUG